GGCGCGCUGAGGCCUCGGCCUCGCGCGGGGCUGGAGGCGGCCUGUGGGCAGCCACCGCCCUCUCCCGGCUUUCUCAGGGCGCCUGGGACACCGGCUUUCUAACAUUUUUACAGCUCAGCGAUUCUCAAGAGUUUUGUUUCUCCAGUGGAAGUAACAGGCUGACUUUGUAGGGACACGCAGCCGUCCAUAUAUGCGUAUAGCAUUCAGAGGUUCUUCCUGUAAGGACCGAUUUGGAAGACUCGUUAAGAAAACAGUGUUCUUUAAGCAAACAUUGGCAAUGGAUUUAAAUGCUCAGAUUUUGAAGAAAUCAACGACUGCAGGUGAAAUGGCUUUGCUAACUUUAAAAUAUAUUAUUAUUCAACAUUGAAACAGGAAAUCCCACAUGAGCACAUGAUAAAUACGACCUUAAUUUUCUACGUACUACCCCCAGAAUGCUGGAGGCAUCCUCUGUUGUUUUGUGCCCCUUACCAAAUUCUGGCCGUGUCUGCUUCAACUGAGAGCAUGAGCCUCAUGGAUGGAGGGAAGAAGAGGAUCAAGACCUGAGAAGGAGAAGAGGAGAAUCCCACAGAAAGAAGAAGGAGCAGCCAGCAGGAGGUAGGGGAACCACAAAGCAGUGGUGUCCAGGAAGCCAAAGGAAAAAGUUGUCUGAAAGGAUAAAUUCUCUGUUCCUUAUUCUACUUCUUUAUUCUUGAUAUCUAUUAAAUGAAAGUUAUCUGAUGUAUCAGUAUCUUGCUAAGUGGGCCUACUAAAUAAUCAAGAAGGAAAUAAAGCUUAUAAGAAUACUGACUUUGUGACCAAUUCAAAAC
rnacentral:lncRNA from 10 species